rnacentral:rRNA from 1 species
UAUGUGAUCGUCUCUCGCAUAUCAAUAAGCGGAGGAAAAGGAACUAACAAGGAUUCCCCUAGUAACGGCGAGUGAAGCGGGAAGAGCUCAAAUUUGAAAUCUUAAAGGGUUUCCCUUUACGAAUUGUAGUUUAAAGAAGUGUUUUCUGUUGAGGUUUUGGUAAAAGUUCUUUGGAAUAGGACAUCAUAGAGGGUGAGAAUCCCGUAUUUGACCUUUACUUUCAACUUUGUGAUACACUUUCAAAGAGUCGGAUUGUUUGGGAACGCAGUCCAAAAUGGGUGGUAAAUUUCAUCUAAAGCUAAAUAUUGGCGUGAGACCGAUAGCGAACAAGUACCGUGAGGGAAAGAUGAAAAGAACUUUGAAAAGAGAGUUAAACAGUACGUGAAAUUGUCAAAAGGGAAGCGUUUGACACCAGUGUUGUUUUUCCGAAAAUCAAUUAAGAAGGGCUUGAUUUUGUGUUGUAUUGACCUUAUCAGCUUUCUUCACUCUUUUUCGAGUCUUUCUUAAUGCACUUUUCGGUUAACAAGUCAACAUCAAUUUCUUUUGUUGUAAAAGGGUAUUUGGAAGGUGGCUUUCUUUUCGGAGAAAGUGUUUAUAGCCUUAUACCUCUACAAUCGGGGAGAUUGAGGUCUGCAGCGUAGAUCCUUCGGGGCUAGAUACACUUGUGCUAAGUUAUAGCUUUUCAUAGACAACUUGUUGACUAUGUUUAGUCAUGUAGCUUACCCGCUUGUGCUAUUUUACCUACGCUUAGGAUGUUGAUCUACAGAGCGAGAGU